AACCGGAUUAGAUACCCUGGUAGUCCACGCCCUAAACGAUGUCUACUAGUUGUCGGGUCUUAAUUGACUUGGUAACGCAGCUAACGCGUGAAGUAGACCGCCUGGGGAGUACGGUCGCAAGAUUAAAACUCAAAGGAAUUGACGGGGACCCGCACAAGCGGUGGAUGAUGUGGAUUAAUUCGAUGCAACGCGAAAAACCUUACCUACCCUUGACAUGUACAGAAUCCCGAAGAGAUUUGGGAGUGUUCGAAUGAAAACUGUAACACAGGUGCUGCAUGGCUGUCGUCAGCUCGUGUCGUGAGAUGUUGGGUUAAGUCCCGCAACGAGCGCAACCCUUGUCAUUAGUUGCUACGAAAGGGCACUCUAAUGAGACUGCCGGUGACAAACCGGAGGAAGGUGGGGAUGACGUCAAGUCCUCAUGGCCCUUAUGGGUAGGGCUUCACACGUCAUACAAUGGUACAUACAGAGGGCCGCCAACCCGCGAGGGGGAGCUAAUCCCAGAAAGUGUAUCGUAGUCCGGAUUGUAGUCUGCAACUCGACUACAUGAAGUUGGAAUCGCUAGUAAUCGCGGAUCAGCAUGUCGCGGUGAAUACGUUCCCGGGUCUUGUACAUACCGCCCGUCACACCAUGGGAGCGGGUUUUACCAGAAGUAGGUAGCCUAACCGUAAGGAGGGCGCUUACCACGGUAGGAUUCGUGACUGGGGUGAAGUCGUAACAAGGUAGCCGUA
rnacentral:rRNA from 1 species